ACAAGCUGGAGUCACAUGCAGAGCUCAAGCUGACCAAGCAGUGACUGACAAAAGGAUCCAGGUGCCCUGAAAACAUCGGAUUAAGCUCUUGUUGGCAGGACACAUCUCAAAGGACACCAUUGAGAGGAAUAAUUGCAGGCAGGUCUCAGGAGAGACAAAGCAUCAUUGUUGGAUGGAUGGAUCUCUCGCUGCACUGCCCCGGCACAUGAAAAAUAACCGCCAAGAAAACAAAACAAAGGGAAAAAACAAACUCACAAGAGCACAAGUUUCACUUCAGUUGGUCUUUUUCUUACCUUUUUUACGGGAGAAAUCCAAGGAUACGCUCCGAUGCUGGGCAACUGUUUAGAGUCUCCACCUUCACUGUGGUGAUGGAAGCUGUUGCUGUGGGAGUGGACUGACUGUGAGAUAACAGGAGCACAGGGGCGUGUUCCACUUCUGUCGUCUGAAACUGACCAACACUACACUUCCCCUGGCUUUGUCACUCCGUGAGAUAAAAGAGAUCUGUUGCA